rnacentral:rRNA from 1 species
AUAUCAAUAAGCGGAGGAAAAGAAACCAACAGGGAUUGCCUCAGUAACGGCGAGUGAAGCGGCAACAGCUCAGAUUUAAAAUCUGGCCCCCCCGAGGGGGUCCGAGUUGUAAUCUGCAGAGGAGGCUUCGGCUUAACGGCCCCGCCCAAAGUCCCCUGGAACGGGGCGCCCCGGAGGGUGAGAGCCCCGUCGGGGCGGGUGCCUGCGCCGCGUGAAGCCCCUUCGACGAAUCGAGUUGUUUGGGAAUGCAGCUCAAAACGGGAGGUAAAUUCCUUCCAAAGCUAAAUAUUCGCCGGAGACCGAUAGCGAACAAGUAGAGUGAUCGAAAGAUGAAAAGCACUUUGGAAAGAGAGUUAAAAAGCGC